rnacentral:rRNA from 1 species
GAUGAACGCUAGCGGCAGGCCUAACACAUGCAAGUCGAGGGGUAACAUGGAAAUAGCUUGCUAUUUCUGAUGACGACCGGCGCACGGGUGCGUAACGCGUAUGUAACCUACCUUAUACAGGAGAAUAACCCGGAGAAAUUCGGACUAAUACUCCAUAUGUGUAGAAGAGGCAUCUCUUUUACAUAAAAGAUUUACGGUAUAAGAUGGACAUGCGUGACAUUAGCUAGAUGGUGAGGUAACGGCUCACCAUGGCUACGAUGUCUAGGGGUUCUGAGAGGAAGGUCCCCCACACUGGUACUGAGACACGGACCAGACUCCUACGGGAGGCAGCAGUGAGGAAUAUUGGUCAAUGGACGCAAGUCUGAACCAGCCAUGCCGCGUGCAGGAUGACGGCUCUAUGAGUUGUAAACUGCUUUUAUACGAGGGUAACAUACAUUACGUGUAAUGUACUGAAAGUAUCGUAAGAAUAAGGAUCGGCUAACUCCGUGCCAGCAGCCGCGGUAAUAC